UUGGGUGGGUCGAGUAGACCAAGGCGCGCGAGAGAAACCUCUCUAAGGAACUCGGCACAUUAGCCCCGUAACUUCGGGAGAAGGGGAGCCUGCUUAGCAGGUCUCAGUAAAUUGCGUUUAGCGACUGUUUAACAAAAACACAGCACUCUGCCAAGUCGUGAAGACGACGUAUAGGGUGUGACACGUGACCAAUGCGGAAAGAUCAAGGCAACUUGUUAGCCGUAAGGUAAGCUCGGAACCUGAGUCCCCGUGAAUGUCGGCCGUAACUAUAACGGUCCUAAGGUAGCGAAAUUCCUUGUCGGGUAAGUUCCGACCUGCACGAAUCGUGUAACGACUGAACGACUGUCUCGGAGAGGAUCUCGGCGAAACUGUAACGGCGGUGAAGAUGCUGCCUGCCCGCAGUAGGACGGAAAGACCCUAUGCACCUUUACUGUAAGCUCGUAUUGGGUUCUGAUUAAUAAUGCUUAGCGUAGGUGGGAGACUUUGAAGGCGUGGCUUCGGUUGCGCUGGAGUCGAAAUGUGAAACACCACUCUUUGUUAAUUAGGAUUCUAACCUCGAUUCCUGUGAAACCAGGCGAGGGACAGUGCGUGCGGGUCAGUUUGACUGGGGCGGUUUCCUCCCAAAGAGUAACGGAGGAGCGCGAAGGUACUCUCAGCACGGUUUGCAACCGUGCGUCGAGCGUAUGGGUAGAAGAGUGCUUAACUGUGAGACAUACAAGUCGAGCAGGUACGAAAGUAGGCCCAAAUGAUCCGAUAGUUUAAUGUGGAAUUGCUAUCGCUCAACGGACAAAAGGUACGCUAGGGAUAACAGGCUGAUCGCCGCCAAGAGUUCAUAUCGACGCGGCGGUUUGGCACCUCGAUGUCGGCUCAUCGCAUCCUGGGGCUGGAGAAGGUCCCAAGGGUCCGGCUGUUCGCCGGUUAAAGCGGUACGCGAGCUGGGUUCAGAACGUCGUGAGACAGUUCGGUCCUUAUCCACUGUGGGCGAAGGAAACUUGAGGGGUUCAUUCUCUAGUACGAGAGGACCGAGAAUGACGCACUUCUGGUGUGGCAGUUAUUCCGUCAGGGGUAGCGCUGCGUAGCCAUGUGCGGAAGAGAUAAGCGCUGAAAGCAUCUAAGUGCCAAGCUCAUCCCAAGAUAAUGUUUCCCGGACGCAAGUCCCUAAAGACCCCAGCGAGACUAGCUGGUUGAUAGGUUAGGCGUGUAAGUGGAGUAAUCCAUUCAGCGGACUAAUACUAAUCGGUCGUGCGGCUUGAUCGC
rnacentral:rRNA from 1 species